UACGUAGGGGGCUAGCGUUGUCCGGAAUCCUUGGGCGUAAAGCGCGUGUAGGCGGUUCGGUAAGUCCGCUGUGAAAGUCGGGGGCUCAACCCUCGAAUGCCGGUGGAUACUGUCGGACUAGAGUACGGAAGAGGCGAGUGGAAUUCCUGGUGUAGCGGUGAAAUGCGCAGAUAUCAGGAGGAACACCAAUUGCGAAGGCAGCUCGCUGGGACGUUACUGACGCUGAGACGCGAAAGCGUGGGGAGCAAACAGG
rnacentral:rRNA from 1 species